rnacentral:tmRNA from 2 species
GGGGGCGACUGGUUUCGACUGGAUGGUCCUGAGGUGGGAAGCAAGCCGUGGUCUCCUCGCCACGUUAAACAGGGGUACCGUCAAAUUCAAUUGACGACACUGAGUUCUCUGGGCAGUAUGCCCUCGCUGCUUAGUCUUAACUAACCAGCGCGCCGAGCACGGGCUCGCUCCUGGUCCGUGCAAGGUGUCAUCUUAGGGAGAUGCGCCUGCGGACGUGGUCGGUAUGCCGCAGGCUAAGAUGGAACCGACUGGAGCCGGGUGCGUGGGCCACCGUACCAGCCCGGCUCGAGACCCGAUCGGUGGCUGAGCUUGGAGAUGCCCGCCAGGGGGCCAUGUAGGACCGGAGUUCGAUUCUCCGCGCCUCCACCA